rnacentral:rRNA from 1 species
AACGAACGCUGGCGGCAGGCUUAACACAUGCAAGUCGAACGAGAUCUUCGGAUCUAGUGGCAGACGGGUGAGGAACACGUGGGAACAUCCCUUUCAGUUCGGAAUAACGUUGGGAAACUAACGCUAAUACCGGAUACGUCCUUCGGGAGAAAGAUUUAUCGCUGAAAGAUUGGCCCGCGUCUGAUUAGCUAGUUGGGGAGGUAAUGGCUCACCAAGGCUACGAUCAGUAGCUGAUCUGAGAGGAUGAUCAGCCACAUUGGGACUGAGACACGGCCCAAACUCCUACGGGAGGCAGCAGUGGGGAAUAUUGGGCAAUGGGGGAAACCCUGACCCAGCAACGCCGCGUGAGGGAAGAAGGUUUUCGGAUUGUAAACCUCUGUCCUUGGUGAAGAGAGGAAGACGGUAGCCAAGGAGGAAGCCCCGGCUAACUACGUGCCAGCCGCCGCAGUAA